AGGCUGAGUUCCACAUACCUCUCCUGUGUAGACGAUCCCGAGUC
rnacentral:sRNA from 1 species